rnacentral:rRNA from 1 species
GAUGAACGCUGGCGGCGUGCCUAAUACAUGCAAGUCGAGCGAAUGGAUUAAGAGCUUGCUCUUAUGAAGUUAGCGGCGGACGGGUGAGUAACACGUGGGUAACCUGCCCAUAAGACUGGGAUAACUCCGGGAAACCGAGGCUAAUACCGGAUAACAUUUUGAACCGCAUGGUUCGAAAUUGAAAGGCGGCUUCGGUUGUCACUUAUGGAUGGACCCGCGUCGCAUUAGCUAGUUGGUGAGGUAACGGCUCACCAAGGCAACGAUGCGUAGCCGACCUGGGAGGGUGAUCGGCCACACUGGGACUGAGACACGGCCCAGACUCCUACGGGAGGCAGCAGUAGGGAAUCUUCCGCAAUGGACGAAAGUCUGACGGAGCAACGCCGCGUGAGUGAUGAAGGCUUUCGGGUCGUAAAACUCUGUUGUUAGGGAAGAACAAGUGCUAGUUGAAUAAGCUGGCACCUUGACGGUACCUAACCAGAAAGCCACGGCUAACUACGUGCCAGCAGCCGCCGUAA